GCAUAAUCACUUGUCUAUUAAUUGUAGACUGGAAUGAAUGGGUUAAUGAAAUUUAAGCUGUCUCUAAUUAAUUAAAUAAAAAUUAGUCAUUAAGUGAAGAAACUUAAAUAAAAUUGAAAGACAAGAAGACCCUAUAGAGCUUUACUUUAACUUAAAAUCAUAAUUUUAAUUAUAGUUCGGUUGGGGCGACCAGGGAAAUAUCAUCUCUAAACACAUAGAAAAAUAUUUCAUUUAAAAUGACCCUUUUAAGAUCAUAAAAUUAAGCUACCUUAGGGAUAACAGGCUAAUUUUCCUUCAGAGACCUUAUUAACAGGAAAGA
rnacentral:rRNA from 1 species